UACGUAGGGGGCUAGCGUUGUCCGGAAUCAUUGGGCGUAAAGCGCGUGUAGGCGGCCCGGUAAGUCCGCUGUGAAAGUCGGGGGCUCAACCCUCGGAUGCCGGUGGAUACUGUCGGGCUGGAGUGCGGAAGAGGCGAGUGGAAUUCCUGGUGUAGCGGUGAAAUGCGCAGAUAUCAGGAGGAACACCAAUUGCGAAGGCAGCUCGCUGGGACGUAACUGACGCUGAGACGCGAAAGCGUGGGGAGCGAACAGG
rnacentral:rRNA from 1 species